UGGGGAAUAUUGGACAAUGGGCGCAAGCCUGAUCCAGCCAUGCCGCGUGAGUGAUGAAGGCCCUAGGGUUGUAAAGCUCUUUCACCGGUGAAGAUAAUGACGGUAACCGGAGAAGAAGCCCCGGCUAACUUCGUGCCAGCAGCCGCGGUAAUACGAAGGGGGCUAGCGUUGUUCGGAUUUACUGGGCGUAAAGCGCACGUAGGCGGACUAUUAAGUCAGGGGUGAAAUCCCGGGGCUCAACCCCGGAACUGCCUUUGAUACUGGUAGUCUUGAGUUCGAGAGAGGUGAGUGGAAUUCCGAGUGUAGAGGUGAAAUUCGUAGAUAUUUGGAGGAACACCAGUGGCGAAGGCGGCUCACUGGCUCGAUACUGACGCUGAGGUGCGAAAGCGUGGGGAGCAAACAGG
rnacentral:rRNA from 1 species